AAGGAUCAUUACCGAGAGAGGGUCCCUUUGGGGCCCGACCCUCCCAUCCCCUGUGUAUGUACCUCUGUUGCUUCGGCGGGCCCGUGGGUCCCUUUGGGGCUCACCACCGGCGUCGGUCGGUCCGCGCCCGCCAGAGGCCCUUAUCAAACCCGAUUGUGCCAGUGAGGUCUGAGUGCAACGUAAUACAGUAAAACUUUCAACAACGGAUCUCUUGGUUCUGGCAUCGAUGAAGAACGCAGCGAAAUGCGAUAAGUAAUGUGAAUUGCAGAAUUCAGUGAAUCAUCGAAUCUUUGAACGCACAUUGCGCCCCUCGGUAUUCCGGGGGGCAUGCCUGUUCGAGCGUCAUUACACCUCUCAAGCUUAGCUUGGUGUUGGCCCCGUCCUCCGCGGGCGGGUCCGAAAGUCAGUGGCGGUGCCACCGGGCUUCAAGCGUAGUACAACCUAUCCCGCUUUGGAAGACCCGGGGGGGCUGGCCAGUCAACACCCGACAUCUCACGGUUGACCUCGGAUCAGGUAGGGAUACCCGCUGAACUUAA
rnacentral:rRNA from 1 species